rnacentral:hammerhead_ribozyme from 1 species
AUGUAGAUGAAGAGUCCUAAAUAGGACGAAAUGCUCAUCGAGCUGGAU